rnacentral:lncRNA from 1 species
GUCCAACAUUUCCUUGUGGAUUUUCUGUCUGGAUGAUCUACCCAUUACUGGAAGUGGGAUUAGAGCCUGUCAGUUGCAACAAACUUUGGCAUUCAAACUUUAUGUCACAAGGCCGUGUUCUUUUGAUUACACGUUCGAGGUCCUUCCUCCUCUGUAUAAAUCUAGGAGCCCUUUGGCUGGAGGUUGGAAAAUAUAAAUUCAGACUCCACAGGAGACCUUGACUGCUUUUCCAGGUGAUUGGUGUGGUAAGUUACAAGGUUGUGAACUGAGGCAGAAUUUUGCACUUCAACAGCAGAGGUAAAGACUACGGUGGGAAUUUUCUAGAUUGAGGAGAUGGUGGUCAGGUUCUGCCUUCCCUAUGAGUUUCUUGCUCUCCAUGAAGACAAGGAGCCUUCACCUUUCAGAGUUUGUCCUUUCCUGGCCAUUUGGAAACCUGGAUGUUUUAAGUGCGUAAACUUUCAUCUGGGCCUGAGCAGUGGGCAGGAUGAAAUACUCAUCAUGACAUCUGUUGCUUUCUACGGCUUCCUGCUUUAGUCAGCUUCAGAUUAAUAUCUAUUUUUUGGGAGGAGUGGAGUAAAGAGGUCACUUCCUUUGUCCAAACUUUCUGACUCAAGGUGACCUUCUCCACAUGAAAAAUAAAUGUGGGAGGGAAAAAUCCAAUUUAUCCAUUUUGCAAAAUAAUUUAUUCCAGCAAUCUGAACUCUGGAGUACGUUGUAUUUAAUCAAUAUGGCUCCAUGUAUUAUUAUCCUGUAGUUUUAUUUUAGUGGUGGUGCUUAUGUUUUUCUUGUAUCCUUAUUGGAAAUUUAGUGUUUUCCAAUGAAUUAGUUUCCUUCUUCUCUUAGCCUAUUGGGUCCUCCAAGUUUAUAAGCAGAAUCAGAUUUGCAAGAGCAAUUUACUCCUUUCUCUGUUCAACCAGGCAUGUUUUAGAAUGGUUUUUCUUCAGCGAAUUUAAUUAACAGGUAUUACGAGCAAUUUUUGUGGGAAGUCCUGGUUCAAGGGAGAGUGAACUAAAGAGAACAACACAAGACUCUUGCUAUACCUAGGGGGUGUGUGUGUGUGUGUGUGAUGUGUGUGAUGUGCAUGUUUAAGUGGGGGAAUUACUGGGAAGAGGAGAAGGUCACCUGGUCUAGAGACUGGUCCCUAUGCUGGCAGAUAGAGAUCUGAUGUGCCCAGUCAAAAGGGGUUGGGUGAAAGUAAAAAGUACUGGAAAAGUUCAGUUUUACAGCUGGCGAUACCCAGGAUGUUAGAUUGAUGGUUACACCAGUAACUCCCAACUCACUUGUUGGUGGCAGAGAUUUCCUGUGCUUUCUGGCUAGGAAUGCAGCAAGUCUGGGUGAAGGUCUCCAAGGCACAUACUGAGCAUUGCUGAGGAAGGCAGAAGGUGACAGUGGCUAGUGCCAUUAAGAGACUUGCAACAGUGGAGGAGGAGGAACAGGGAAAACUAGUGGGAAAGACCAAAAGACCAAGUGUCACCACUUCUCUUGAAUGUCAAGAAAACUCAAAUCUGCUAGAAACAAAAGUGGAAUAGCAAGACCUCCGUUCUCUUUCCCUCCUCCCAAUCAGUUUCUCUACUGCAUUGUGCCAGGAAACAUGAAACCCCAGCAGGGACUCCAGAUGACAGCUCUCAGCAGGACACCUCGCCAAUCACUCUUAAGAUUGGUACUGACCUUUAGAAUUUUCCCCCACGAACAGUGCCCCCCUCCCCCAACUUCUUUCUGUCAGCAGCAGUACGUAGACCUAGCAGCAGCAAUUUCCACAAGCUUUUUGUAUUAGAAAUGAUAACUAGGGUGAGCAUAUAAUUUAUUGUCCAAACUGGAACAUCUUUUUUAAAUGUAGGCACUGGGAGAGUUUUUAAAGUUUUUAUUUUGAGAUAACUGUAUAUGCACAUGCAGCUGUAUGAAAUAAUACAGAGAGAUCCCUGAUACUGCUUACCCACUUUCCCCCAGUAGUAACAUAUUGCAAAACUGUAGUAGAAUAUCACAACCAGGAAACUGACAUUGUUGCAAUCCACUUACCUUAUUCAGAUUUCACUAGUUUUACAUGCAUUCCUUUGUGUGUGUGCAUCUUGCUCUAUGCAAUUUUAUCACAUGUGUAGAAUACUGUGACCACCACCACAGUCAAAAUACAGAAGAGUUCCAUCACAAAGAUCCCUUGUAUUGCCCUUUUAUAACCACUCUCACCUCCUCCCGGCCCUGCCUCCCCCUGCCCCAACCAGGCCCUGGCAACCACUAAUCUGUUCUCCAUCUCUACAAUUUUGUCAUUUCAAAACUUUUAUAUGAAUGGAAUAAUACAGGAUAUAACCUG